GAUGAAGAACGUAGCGAAAUGCGAUAAGUAGUGUGAAUUGCAGAAGUACCGUGAAUCAUCGAAUCUUUGAACGCAAAUUGCACUCUCUGGUAUUCCGGGGAGUAUGCCUGUUUGAGGGUCGCUUAACAAACCAUCGAUUUCGUUGCUUUUUUUUUAAAAAAGUGAUGUUUAUCGGAUUUGAGCCGUCUUUUUUUUUUUUAUAUUUAAGUGGCUUAAAAUUGAUUUUUUUUGGUACGAUCGAAGCGUAUUUUUAUGAUCAAUUUUUGGUUAAAGAAACGCACACGUACCGUUAUUUAUAUGAUGUAAUACGUUUGACUAUCGGAUUUAGUUCAUUCGUAUACGAUAUUUUUCAAUAUUUGACCUCAAAUCAGGUAAGAACACCCGCUGAACUUAAGCAUAUCAAUAAGCGGAGGA
rnacentral:misc_RNA from 1 species